CUAUAUUAGGUAACUGCCCAAAAAGCUUAAAAGUGGUAACGGUAAACUCCAUAUAAUAGCCAGCUCUCUCUCUCUCUCUCUCUCAGCCAUCAUCAGUACGCCCCAUAUUCAACAAAGAAUCAAGAAAUUGCACACUAUUAAAUAAAGUAAGGAUCAUAUAAAUAUUGAAAAGCACUGGCAGAGACAUUGAUAAAGGUCCACGUUACAAAGAAGGGAAAACGCUGAAGAAAUCAGCUGUUGAAGAGAAGGCAAAUGAUGUUCUAGAAGAUCAAAAACCAAUCUCUACGAACCCAUUUUUUGUUGCUGCUGAUGCAAAGCAGCUCUGACAAAAUGACUCUGCAACCUUUUGAUUCAUAGGUAUUUCAAUAUGUGAUUCAUUGAUUCCAUUAUCUUAGUUACCACACACAAUCUUUAUUUUUAGUUUUAAAAAGAAGGGGACUGCAAGAUGUAUUUGUUUUGGGGUAGUUCGCGAAAAUAAAAAAUCAACUAUUUGUCAUGGCAUAUCAUGAUUUGGCAAAAGACGAACAUUUACCUUGGUAAAAUCCGAUGUAAAAAAGAUGAAGUAAAUUGUAUUUAAGGCGGAAUCUUAAUUUUAUACCUUCUUUUUUUUCUUCAUUUUUUACCCUUUUUCCUAAGUUUUUACCCAUUUCCCAUAUACUCUCUCUUCGAAGAGAGACUGUGGAAGGAAGUUAAGGCUUGGCCCAGUGGUAAAGGUCUGGCCUUAUCAUGACUUAGGUCUUGGGUUCGAAACUUCACCCCGCCCCCGAGCACAUGACGUAAUGGCAAAGGGCGAGAGUCCGGGAUGUGAGCUAACACUAGGAGAUCCCGCUUUCGAUUCUUGGUUGUUGCGUCGCAUAUCUGCAUUUACGUGAUGCGAAGGACUAGCUGCCACAGGUCACAGAGAUUAGUUUCGGUGGGCCCAAAGGCUUGCCUUGGAUACUCUGUGGUUAAUCAAAAAAAAAAGAGAGAGAGACUGUGGAAGAGCUCGCCCUCACCCGUCGCGCUCUCGCAUCUCCAUCACCUACCCGUCUUGUAAUUUCUCCCUCUCUCUCUCUCUCUCUGUAUUGCGGUUGGAUUUUGUUGGGGUGGGGCUGGGCUAGGGUUCAAAUUAAUGCCCUGUAAGAGGAGUUCUUCUAUUUUUUUUUGCCCUUUUAGAUUUAGUUGAGCUUUCUGAUGUUGUUUGGAUGUGUUAAUCUCUAUCGAGGCUGGAGAUCCAAGAAAUGCUGCGUGUGAUUUUCAUUCAAGAUGACCAUGGUUGAUUUUUUGUUUUUUGUUCAUUCAUGUAGGAGCCUGUUUUGACCUCUAGGUUGUAUCUAAACUCUUUGUUGUAUUUUGUUUUCGUUACUAUGUUCUCUAUUUGCACAAAAAAAAAAUUAUGGAGAAAACUUAUUAUCAUGUUGAAUGUUGCUUUUGGUAUCAGAACAAGGGAUCCAACUUAUGAAGCGACUCCAGCUAUUGAAGGUAGAGAUCACAUUGUAAUCUCUGAUCUAGAUCUGAAAGUUCAGAUGAAUUACUGUAAAGGAAAGGGACCCUUUUUGUUCUUGGUCAAUAAAACCAAAUAAGGAGGAGUUUAUGUUAUAGCAACACAUGAUUAGGAGAAGCAAAAAUGCAUGCAGUCUUCGAACAGCACGGGAAACUCUUAUUUAGUUGCACGAGUUUUUGAUUCAGAGGACAGUUCUAGCAAUGGGGGGAUUAACAUACAAGUUGCAAUUUGAAGAGCAAGAAUUUAUGUAUUACAUAGUUUGCCUUUAGCUGACUAGUUUAUGAGCACAAAGUUCAAUUUUCCCUGUUUUGACGUAAUCUCAUUGUUUCUAGCACACAGGAUAAUAGGAGUAAGAGAAAAAUGUAUAUAGCACUGGAAUAAGAGAAAAAUGUAUAUAGCAAUCUCUAAUGUUUUUCACCCCCUUCUCAUUUCAUAGUUUCGGUUCACGGGUUUGGUGAUGCAGGAGAUACAGUGGAAGAAGCUGGAAAAACAGCUUAGUGUGUGCUUCUCCUUUUUUUAAAAUUUUUCCUUUAAUAUUCUACUGGCUGUAUCUUAUUCUCCUUGUGAAGAUACUCACGGUAGAAGAAAUUGGCCAUUGAUGUUAUUUCAUUACCAAAACAAAUUAAUGGUAUUUCCACUAAUAGCGUCAACUUUUUUCUGCAAAGCAACUGCAAUGAUAACCAUCAAACAGGUUUCCCUGAUAUGGACUAAUGAUUUCUAUUGUCUUUGGUCUCCCUGACUAGCUUUUCCCGCUGUAGUGUUGGCGAUGUGAAGAGGCUCUUGAGACCACAGAAACAAUAGAAUAGAAAGCAUUUGCUGCCAUUCUCGACUUUAUAUGCCCCCUUUUUGGCAGAGGCCUUUUGCUUCUGAAGCUUUCACCAAUUGUUGCAGCAGCAAAGUUAUUGAUCCUUCUGUUCACCAUCUCACUGACUCUGAACACGUGUGGUUUGACAGGCUCUUCUUGUAUCUGGGUUUUUUUUAGUUAGAUGACUGGAGGAGGAAACUGAGAGGAUACUG
rnacentral:lncRNA from 1 species